UCCACGCCGUAAACGAUGAUAACUAGCUGUCCGGACACUUGGUGUUUGGGUGGCGCAGCUAACGCAUUAAGUUAUCCGCCUGGGGAGUACGGUCGCAAGAUUAAAACUCAAAGGAAUUGACGGGGGCCUGCACAAGCGGUGGAGCAUGUGGUUUAAUUCGAAGCAACGCGCAGAACCUUACCAGCGUUUGACAUCCCGCGCUAUCACAAGAGAUUGUGAG
rnacentral:rRNA from 1 species